CCCUUAGAUGUUCUGGGCUGCACGCGCGCUACACUGAAGCGUUCAACGAGUAUUCACCUUGCCCGGGAGGGUUGGGUAAUCUUUUGAAAACGCUUCGUGAUGGGGAUAGAUUAUUGCAAUUAUUAAUCUUCAACGAGGAAUUCCUAGUAAGCGCGAGUCAUCAGCUCGUGCUGAUUACGUCCCUGCCCUUUGUACACACCGCCCGUCGCUCCUACCGAUUGAAUGGUCCGGUGAAGCCUCCGGAUUGGCGCGCACCUCGGUGCCGCCGAGAAGUUGGCUAAACCUUACCAUUUAGAGGAAGGUGAAGUCGUANCA
rnacentral:rRNA from 1 species